rnacentral:tRNA from 5 species
GCCGCUUUAGCUCAGCUGGUUAGAGCAGCUGUUUUGUAAACAGCAGGUCUACGGUUCGAAUCCGUAAAGCGGCUCCA